AGAGUUUGAUCCUGGCUCAGGAUGAACGCUGGCGGCGUGCUUAACACAUGCAAGUCGAACGGGAAUGCCGCGCUGAUGCGAUUUCGGUCAAAUCAUGUGGCAUUCGAGUGGCGGACGGGUGAGUAACGCGUGGGUAACCUGCCUUACACAGGGGGAUAACACCUGGAAACAGGUGCUAAUACCGCAUAAGCGCACAGGGCCGCAUGGCCCGGUGUGAAAAACUCCGGUGGUGUAAGAUGGACCCGCGUCUGAUUAGCUUGUUGGAGGGGUAGGGGCCCACCAAGGCGACGAUCAGUAGCCGGCCUGAGAGGGUGGACGGCCACAUUGGGACUGAGACACGGCCCAAACUCCUACGGGAGGCAGCAGUGGGGGAUAUUGGACAAUGGGGGAAACCCUGAUCCAGCGACGCCGCGUGAGUGAAGAAGUAUUUCGGUAUGUAAAGCUCUGUCAGCAGGGAAGAAAGAAAUGACGGUACCUGACCAAGAAGCCCCGGCUAACUACGUGCCAGCAGCCGCGGUAAUACGUAGGGGGCAAGCGUUAUCCGGAAUUACUGGGUGUAAAGGGAGCGUAGACGGUGAUGCAAGUCUGGAGUGAAAGGCGGGGGCCCAACCCCCGGACUGCUCUGGAAACUGUGUAACUUGAGUGCAGGAGAGGUAAGCGGAAUUCCUAGUGUAGCGGUGAAAUGCGUAGAUAUUAGGAGGAACACCAGUGGCGAAGGCGGCUUACUGGACUGUAACUGACGUUGAGGCUCGAAAGCGUGGGGAGCAAACAGGAUUAGAUACCCUGGUAGUCCACGCCGUAAAC
rnacentral:rRNA from 1 species